ncrna:Drosophila erecta microRNA der-mir-311b precursor (der-mir-311b-1, der-mir-311b-2)
CAAUUUUCGGCUGUGGAGUGGGCUAGUACUGUGAUUUUAACAUUGAGUAUUGCACAUUCCCCAGCCUGAAAGUGU